CCUACGGGAUGCAGCAGUGGGGAAUAUUGGGCAAUGGACGAAAGUCUGACCCAGCAACGCCGCGUGAAGGAAGAAGGCUUUCGGGUUGUAAACUUCUUUUAAGGGGGAAGAUGAGAAGACGGUACCCCUUGAAUAAGCCACGGCUAACUACGUGCCAGCAGCCGCGGUAAUACGCAGGUGGCAAGCGUUGUCCGUAUUUACUGGGUGUAAAGGGCGUGCAGCCGGGCCGACAAGUCAGAUGUGAAAUCCGCGGGAGUAACCCGCGAACUGCAUUUGAAACUAUAUGUCUUGAGUGCCGGAGAGGUAAUCGGAAUGCCUUGUGUAGCGGUGAAAUGCGUAGAUAUAAGGAAGAACACCAGUGGCGAAGGCGGAUUACUGGACGGUAACUGACGGUGAGGCGCGAAAGCGUGGGGAGCAAACAGGAUUAGAUACCCGUGUAGUC
rnacentral:rRNA from 1 species